rnacentral:rRNA from 1 species
UUAAUUUGAGAGUUUGAUCCUGGCUCAGGACGAACGCUGGCGGCGUGCCUAAUACAUGCAAGUCGAACGAACUCUGGUAUUGAUUGGUGCUUGCAUCAUGAUUUACAUUUGAGUGAGUGGCGAACUGGUGAGUAACACGUGGGAAACCUGCCCAGAAGCGGGGGAUAACAUCUGGAAACAGAUGCUAAUACCGCAUAACAACUUGGACCGCAUGGUCCGAGUUUGAAAGAUGGCUUCGGCUAUCACUUUUGGAUGGUCCCGCGGCGUAUUAGCUAGAUGGUGGGGUAACGGCUCACCAUGGCAAUGAUACGUAGCCGACCUGAGAGGGUAAUCGGCCACAUUGGGACUGAGACACGGCCCAAACUCCUACGGGAGGCAGCAGUAGGGAAUCUUCCACAAUGGACGAAAGUCUGAUGGAGCAACGCCGCGUGAGUGAAGAAGGGUUUCGGCUCGUAAAACUCUGUUGUUAAAGAAGAACAUAUCUGAGAGUAACUGUUCAGGUAUUGACGGUAUUUAACCAGAAAGCCACGGCUAACUACGUGCCAGCAGCCGCGGUAAUACGUAGGUGGCAAGCGUUGUCCGGAUUUAUUGGGCGUAAAGCGAGCGCAGGCGGUUUUUUAAGUCUGAUGUGAAAGCCUUCGGCUCAACCGAAGAAGUGCAUCGGAAACUGGGAAACUUGAGUGCAGAAGAGGACAGUGGAACUCCAUGUGUAGCGGUGAAAUGCGUAGAUAUAUGGAAGAACACCAGUGGCGAAGGCGGCUGUCUGGUCUGUAACUGACGCUGAGGCUCGAAAGUAUGGGUAGCAAACAGGAUUAGAUACCCUGGUAGUCCAUACCGUAAACGAUGAAUGCUAAGUGUUGGAGGGUUUCCGCCCUUCAGUGCUGCAGCUAACGCAUUAAGCAUUCCGCCUGGGGAGUACGGCCGCAAGGCUGAAACUCAAAGGAAUUGACGGGGGCCCGCACAAGCGGUGGAGCAUGUGGUUUAAUUCGAAGCUACGCGAAGAACCUUACCAGGUCUUGACAUACUAUGCAAAUCUAAGAGAUUAGACGUUCCCUUCGGGGACAUGGAUACAGGUGGUGCAUGGUUGUCGUCAGCUCGUGUCGUGAGAUGUUGGGUUAAGUCCCGCAACGAGCGCAACCCUUAUUAUCAGUUGCCAGCAUUAAGUUGGGCACUCUGGUGAGACUGCCGGUGACAAACCGGAGGAAGGUGGGGAUGACGUCAAAUCAUCAUGCCCCUUAUGACCUGGGCUACACACGUGCUACAAUGGAUGGUACAACGAGUUGCGAACUCGCGAGAGUAAGCUAAUCUCUUAAAGCCAUUCUCAGUUCGGAUUGUAGGCUGCAACUCGCCUACAUGAAGUCGGAAUCGCUAGUAAUCGCGGAUCAGCAUGCCGCGGUGAAUACGUUCCCGGGCCUUGUACACACCGCCCGUCACACCAUGAGAGUUUGUAACACCCAAAGUCGGUGGGGUAACCUUUUAGGAACCAGCCGCCUAAGGUGGGACAGAUGAUUAGGGUGAAGUCGUAACAAGGUAGCCGUAGGAGAACCUGCGGCUGGAUCACCUCCUUUCUAAGGAA